ACAUAAGUCAAUGCUUGUGAAGCCCACGGAACACUGCUGGAGACCUAGCAGGAUCCACUCAGGACAACAGAAACCACUCUAUGAAGAAAGAGCUGAGAAGGCAAAUAAAGCAUUGGGAGGCAGCCCUGAGGCUGUCAACAGCAGGAAGCUGUGAUCACCUGCAGACUGUUAGGAACGACAGGAAAUGGUGGUAUCCACAUCCAGGGACAAGAGUUACCUUGAAAGAAGCUGCAACCAAGGGCAGUUCCAGCCACAGUGGGGACUCGGGAGUGGAGGAGCAGCGGCUCUGUGCAGGAGGCGGUCGAUGUGCCCUUCUGGGCUGGACUAUAUCUGGGAAGGGGGCCCAGUGGAGGUGCAUAUAUGUGUGUGCACACGUGAGCACGUGCCUAGAUACAGAGGGACAUGUCUGAGCAGGUGAGAGGAUUCAGACCCCUGUUACAGAAGCAACAGCCAAAUUGCUGUCUGACCUGCAAAGAAGGUCCAGGAGGUGCUGUGUCAGGAGCUCCACGUGCACUCCCUCA